rnacentral:rRNA from 1 species
UAAAAACAUGGCUCCUUGAUUUUUAAUAAUAAGGAGUCGGACCUGCCCAGUGAAUUUUUUAACGGCCGCGGUACUCUGACCGUGCAAAGGUAGCAUAAUCAUUUGCCUUAUAAUUGAAGGCUAGUAUGAAUGGUUUGACAAGAAUGAAGCUGUCUCUUUAUAAUUUAGUAGAAUUUUAUUUUUAGGUGAAGAAGCCUAAAUUCAAUUAAAAGACAAGAAGACCCUAUCGAGCUUGAAAGAAAUUAAUAGAAUUAAAAUUAAUAUUAAUAGAAAAUUGUCUAUUUAAAAUUUUAGUUGGGGCGACUGAGGAACAUAAAAAGCUUCCUUUAAAUAGUUAAUUUAAAUCACACUAGAAUUGAUCCAAAAGAUUUUGAUUAAAGGAAUUAGUUACCGUAGGGAUAACAGCAUUAUCUUUUUUAAGAGCUCUUAUCGAAAAAAAGGUUUGUGACCUCGAUGUUGGACCAGAAUAUCCUAAAGGUGCAGCAGCCUUUGAGGGUUGGUCUGUUCGACCAUUAAAAUUCUACGUGA